rnacentral:rRNA from 1 species
CAUGCACGUCGAGCGGAUGACGGGAGCUUGCUCCUUGAUUCAGCGGCGGACGGGUGAGUAAUGCCUAGGAAUCUGCCUGGUAGUGGGGGACAACGUUUCGAAAGGAACGCUAAUACCGCAUACGUCCUACGGGAGAAAGCAGGGGACCUUCGGGCCUUGCGCUAUCAGAUGAGCCUAGGUCGGAUUAGCUAGUAGGUGAGGUAAUGGCUCACCUAGGCGACGAUCCGUAACUGGUCUGAGAGGAUGAUCAGUCACACUGGAACUGAGACACGGUCCAGACUCCUACGGGAGGCAGCAGUGGGGAAUAUUGGACAAUGGGCGAAAGCCUGAUCCAGCCAUGCCGCGUGUGUGAAGAAGGGCUUCGGAUUGUAAAGCACUUUAAGUUGGGAGGAAGGGCAGUAAGUUAAUCCCUUGCUGUUUUGACGUUUCCGACAGAAUAUCACCGGCUAACUCUGUGCCAGCAGCCGCGGUAAUACAAAUGGUGCAAGCGU